GAUGAACGCUGGCGGCGUGCCUAAUACAUGCAAGUCGAGCGAACGGACGAGAAUCUUGCUUCUCUGAUGUUAGCGGCGGACGGGUGAGUAACACGUGGAUAACCUACCUAUAAGACUGGGAUAACUUCGGGAAACCGGAGCUAAUACCGGAUGAUAUUUUGAACCGCAUGGUUCAUAAGUGAAAGACGGUCUUGCUGUCACUUGUAGAUGGAUCCGCGCUGCAUUAGCUAGUUGGUAAGGUAACGGCUUACCAAGGCAACGAUGCAUAGCCGACCUGAGAGGGUGAUCGGCCACACUGGAACUGAGACACGGUCCAGACUCCUACGGGAGGCAGCAGUAGGGAAUCUUCCGCAAUGGGCGAAAGCCUGACGGAGCAACGCCGCGUGAGUGAUGAAGGUCUUCGGAUCGUAAAACUCUGUUAUUAGGGAAGAACAUAUGUGUAAGUAACUGUGCACAUCUUGACGGUACCUAAUCAGAAAGCCACGGCUAACUACGUG
rnacentral:rRNA from 1 species